rnacentral:rRNA from 1 species
UACAGAGGGUGCGAGCGUUAAUCGGAAUUACUGGGCGUAAAGCGUGCGUAGGCGGUCACGUAAGUCGGAUGUGAAAGCCCCGGGCUCAACCUGGGAAUUGCAUUCGAGACUGCAUGGCUUGGGUGCGGAAGAGGGAAGCGGAAUUUCCGGUGUAGCGGUGAAAUGCGUAGAUAUCGGAAGGAACACCAGUGGCGAAAGCGGCUUCCUGGUCCGACACAGACGUUCAGGCACGAAAGCGUGGGGAGCAAACAGG